rnacentral:rRNA from 1 species
GGUUGGCUCAGAAGCAGCCAUCCUUUAAAGAGUGCGUAACAGCUCACUAGUCGAAUGACUCUGCGCCGAUAAUUUACCGGGGCUAAGCAUACUACCGAAGCUAUGGAUCCCAAGGGAUGGUAGGGGAGCGUUCCAUGAACGGAGAAGUACGACCGAAAGGACGUGUGGAGAUCAUGGAAGAGAGAAUGCCGGUGUGAGUAGCGGAACGUGGGUGAGAAUCCCACGCACCGAAAACCCAAGGUUUCCAGAGGAAGGUUCGUCCGCUCUGGGUAAGUCGGGACCUAAGGCGAGGCCGAAAGGCGUAGUCGAUGGACAACAGGUAGAGAUUCCUGUACCCGUAUAUAUGUGAAGGAAUGACGGAGAGAGGAAGCUGCAGCCAGCGGCUGGAAGAGCUGGUGCAAGCGAGAUAUCGGGAUGGCAGGCAAAUCCACCAUCCGAAACGAGAAGGCGUGAAGCGUACGGAAAGCUACGGCGAGUACGGAAGGCAGUGGAGGAACUUCCAAGAAAAGUUUCUAACGUAAAGUAUAUAUGGCCCGUACCGAAAAUGGACACACAUGGGUGAGGAGAGAAUCCUAAGGUGAGCGAGAGAACUAUAGCUAAGGAACUCUGCAAAAUGACUCCGUAACUUAGGGAGAAGGAGUGCUCAUAGAGAUAUGAGCCGCAGUGAAACGGCCCAAGCGACUGUUUACCAAAAACACAGCUCUCUGCUAAGCCGCAAGGCGAAGUAUAGGGGGUGACGCCUGCCCGGUGCUGGAAGGUUAAGGGGAGGGGUUAACGCAAGUGAAGCCCUGAACUGAAGCCCCAGUAAACGGCGGCCGUAACUAUAACGGUCCUAAGGUAGCGAAAUUCCUUGUCAGGUAAGUUCUGACCCGCACGAAAGGCGUAACGAUUUGGGCGCUGUCUCAGCUGUAGACUCGGUGAAGUCUUAGUACCUGUGAAGAUGCAGGUUACCCGCGACUAGACGGAAAGACCCCAUGGAGCUUCACUGCAGGUUGAUAUUGGGAUUUGAUGCAGCAUGUACAGGAUAGGUAGGAGGCAAAGAGAUGGAUACGCCAGUAUUCAAGGAGCCGCUGUUGGGAUACUACCCCUGUUGUAUUGGAUUUCUAACCGGACGACGUAGAGCCGUUGACGGGACAGUGUCAGUCGGGCAGUUUGACUGGGGCGGUCGCCUCCCAAAGAGUAACGGAGGCGCCCAAAGAUACCCUCAGCUUGGAUGGAAACCAAGCGCAGAGUGCAAAGGCAAAAGGGUGUUUGACUGCGAGACCCACAAGUCGAGCAGGGACGAAAGUCGGGCUUAGUGAUCCGGCGGUGCUGAAUGGAAAGGCCGUCGCUCAACGGAUAAAAGCUACCCUGGGGAUAACAGGCUGAUCUCCCCCAAGAGUUCACAUCGACGGGGAGGUUUGGCACCUCGAUGUCGGCUCAUCGCAUCCUGGAGCUGAAGUCGGUUCCAAGGGUUGGGCUGUUCGCCCAUUAAAGCGGUACGCGAGCUGGGUUCAGAACGUCGUGAGACAGUUCGGUCCCUAUCUGUCGUGGGCGCAGGAAAUUUGAGAAGAGCUGUCCUCAGUACGAGAGGACCGGGAUGGACGCAUCAAUGGUGGACCAGUUGUCACGCCAGUGGCAUAGCUGGGUAGCUAAAUGCGGAAGGGAUAAACGCUGAAGGCAUCUAAGUGUGAAACCCACUUCAAGAUGAGAUUUCCCAUUGCGCAAGCAAGUAAGACCCCUUAAAGACGAUAAGGUAGAUAGGUCAGGAGUGUAAGCAUGGUGACAUGUUAAGCGGACUGAUACUAAUAGGUCGAGGGCUUGACCG